UGCGGGACAGGAGCAGCACCAGGCGCUCGGGAGGCAGGAAAGGCGCAGGAAGGCUGGCACCGCUCUGCACGGAGCCCAGAGGGAGAAGCCCCGGAGGCAGGGGCCGGACCCGCUGAGGGAACACACUCUGGUCAGUUUGUGUUUGGGAAGCUCCAUGAUCACAAAAUAUUGCAAUAUUAAGAUGAUGGGAAAUAUGAAGGAGAGUUCUGUGGAGUGAGAAAAGGGGCAGUGGAGAAAUGACACUCAAAGAACGGGGCGCUGUAGUUAAUUGUUCUGGUGACAUCUGUGAUGGACUGUGGAUCAAUGGCUACCCUGCUGUAGCUCUGGAUUUGCACUGGCUAGUUUACCAGUCCCUAAGGGAGAUGGAGCCAGAAUCUGGAUCUGACACCAUAACUGGAGCAGGAGAUGCUUCAAGCAGCCAGUGUGAGCAGAGGCAAAAAGCCAAGUGGCAGGAUAUCUGCUGAGAAAGCUGAGAAGAUGACAGUCUCACAGGAGAAAAUGGAAGACAGCAGAUAUUUUUGCUGAGUGAUUAACUUGAAGAAUGAACUGUCAUUUCAAGUACAGUGAAUAAACCUUCCUUUUUAGGGACAUAAAGCAGAAGGACCCUGUUCCCUGAGCUUCAGUUUUCUGGCAGAGUCACCAAGCAGUGGAGCACUCCCUUGGAAAGCUUUUAUAAGCACCGGUGAGCUGGAGUGCCUUCAUCCAGAUUUUGCAUGAUAUCCAAAGAAUAAAAGGUACAAAAGGAUCAGCACCUCAUCAAGAAUUCUAAGACAUCACAAGGAGAAGAUACAUGUCAUCAGCUGUAUGCAUCCCAAAAUUCUGAUGGGGCUGUAUCUUAGAACAGAGUGCUCAUUUAACCAAAUUAACAUCCCAGUUGAAGGCAGCACUGGAAUUGGAGCUGUGUGGUUGGCGCAGAUUUAUUCCAUCCUAUAUCACAGUAUGAACUUGAGGAAUGAUUUCCAGGAGACUAAUUAUCACAUUAUACUGCACUACUCCGUAACUACAAGGCAGCUUUUUUAGCUAGAGAAAUCCAAACAUGGAAAUCAACUUGUUGCGAGCAUCAGGAUAAAUGCUAAUGUCUUGGAGCCGGGAUAUGAAAAUACAACUUGCCCCCAGCAGA